rnacentral:rRNA from 1 species
GGCUACGAGGACGACGCUGGCGGCGUGCUUAACACAUGCAAGUCGAACGGAAAGGCCCCCACCUUGGUGGGGGUGCUCGAGUGGCGAACGGGUGAGUAACACGUGGGUGAUCUGCCCUGUACUUCGGGAUAAGCUUGGGAAACUGGGUCUAAUACCGGAUAGGACCAUGGUUUAGUGUCUCAUGGUGGAAAGAUUAUUGUUUUGGUGCAGGAUGAGCUCGCGGCCUAUCAGCUUGUUGGUGGGGUAAUGGCCUACCAAGGCGUCGACGGGUAGCCGGCCUGAGAGGGUGGACGGCCACAUUGGGACUGAGAUACGGCCCAGACUCCUACGGGAGGCAGCAGUGGGGAAUAUUGCACAAUGGGCGCAAGCCUGAUGCAGCGACGCCGCGUGGGGGAUGACGGCCUUCGGGUUGUAAACUCCUUUCGUUAGGGACGAAGCCGCACCUGUUUUGGGUGUGGUGACGGUACCUUUGUUAAGAAGCACCGGCUAACUAC